AUUGAACGCUGGCGGCAGGCCUAACACAUGCAAGUCGAGCGAGCGGCGGACGGGUGAGUAAUGCCUGGGAAUUGCCCAGUCGAGGGGGAUAACAGUUGGAAACGACUGCUAAUACCGCAUACGAUUGGAUUGCCCAGGUGGGAUUAGCUAGUUGGUGAGGUAAUGGCUCACCAAGGCGACGAUCCCUAGCUGGUCUGAGAGGAGGAUCAGCCACCCUGGAACUGCUACACGGUUCCGAUUCCUACGGGCGGCAGCCGUGGGGAAUAUUGCAAUAUGGGUGAACCCCUGAUUCAGCCCUGCCGCGUGUGUGAAGAAGGCCUUCAGGGUGUAAAACACUUUCCGCGUGGAGGCGUUACUCGCAGAAGAAGCACCGGCUAACUCCGUGCCAGCAGCCGCGGUAAUUC
rnacentral:rRNA from 1 species